rnacentral:rRNA from 1 species
CUUGGUCAUUUAGAGGAAGUAAAAGUCGUAACAAGGUUUCCGUAGGUGAACCUGCGGAAGGAUCAUUAGUGAAUAUUAGGGCGUCUACUUCGGUAGGGCCUGACCUCCACUUUCUAACUCUGUGCACUUAUUUGGCGGAAAAGGGAAUUAGUAAUCUGUCUAAUGACGAUUACGACUUCUUACUUUCUGCGGCUUACUUUAAACACUAGUCAAAGUAUGUAACGAAAUAUCGAAACAAAUAAAAACUUUCAACAACGGAUCUCUUGGCUCUCGCAUCGAUGAAGAACGCAGCGAAAUGUGAUAAGUAAUGUGAAUUGCAGAAUUCAGUGAAUCAUCGAAUCUUUGAACGCACCUUGCGCUCCCUAGUAUUCUGGGGAGCGUGUCUGUUUGAGUGUCAUGAACUCUUCAACCCACUGGUUUCUUGUAGACUAGCUGGUGUUUGGAUUUUGAACGUUGCUGGUCUUCGGACGUAGCUCGUUCGUAAUACAUUAGCAUCUCUAAUUCGAAUUCGGAUUGACUCAGUGUAAUAGACUAUUCGCUGAGGACACUUUUAUUAGUGGCCGAACAAGAUAAUUGUAGAAGCUUCAAACCUCUAUAGUCAAUUUUAGAUUAGACCUCAGAUCAGGCAGGAUUACCCGCUGAACUUAAGCAUAUCAAUAAGCGGAGGA